CCCUUAGAUGUUCUGGGCCGCACGCGCGCUACACUGAUUCAUGCAACAAGUUUUGUCCUUGGCUGAUAGGCCUGGGUAAUCUUUGAACGUGAAUCGUGAUGGGGAUAGAUGAUUGCAAUUAUUCAUCUUCAACGAGGAAUUCCUAGUAAACGCAAGUCAUCAGCUUGCAUUGAUUACGUCCCUGCCCUUUGUACACACCGCCCGUCGCUCCUACCGAUUGAAUGGUCCGGUGAAAAUUUCGGAUACCGGCAUUGCUGGCGGUUCGCCGCCGGCGACGCUGGUAGAAGAUCUUUAAACCUUAUCAUUUAGAGGAAGGAGAAGUCGUAACA
rnacentral:rRNA from 1 species